rnacentral:lncRNA from 1 species
UUGGGGUCAAUGGGAUCAAUGGGACACUUCUUGGGGUCAAUGGGGCAUCUCGCCAGGUUAAUGGGGUCAAUGGGACACCUCUUAGGGUUAAUGGGAUCAAUGGGGCAGCUCUCUGGGGCAAUGGGAUCAAUGGGGCAUCUCCUGGGGUCAAUGGGGCAUCUUCUAGGGUCAAUGGGAUCAAUGGGGCAGCUCUCUGGGGCAAUGGGAUCAAUGGGACACCUCUUGGGGUCAAUGGGAUCAAUGGGGCAACUCCGUAGGGCAAUGGGAACAUCUCCUGGGGUCAAUGGGACACCAGUUGGGGUCAAUGGGAUCAAUGGGACAUCUCUUAGGGUCAAUGGGGCAUCUCCUGGGGGCAAUGGGAUCAAUGGGUCAUCUUUUAGGGUCAAUGAGAUCAAUGGAACAUCUCCUAGGGUCAAUGGGAUCAAUGGGGCGGCCCUGUGGGGCAAUGGGACACCUCUUGGGGUCAAUGGGACACCUCUUGGGGUCAAUGGGACCAAUGGGACACCUCUUGGGGUCAAUGGGGCAUCUCCUGGGGUCAAUGGGACACCUCUUGGGGUCAAUGGGAUCAAUGGGACACUUGUUGGGGUCAAUGGGGCAUCUCGCUGGGUUAAUGGGGUCAAUGGGACACCUCUUGGGGUCAAUGGGAUCAAUGGGACGGCUCUGUGGGGCAAUGGGGAUAUGUCCUGGGGGCAACGGGGUCAAUGGGACAGCUGUUGGGGUCAAUGGGAUCAAUAGGACACCUGUUGGGGUCAAUGGGACAUCUCCAGGGGUCAAUGGGAUCAAUGGGACACCUCUUGGUAUCAAUGGGACAUCUCCUGGGGGCAAUGGGAUCAAUGGGUCAUCUUUUAGGGUCAAUGAGAUCAAUGGAACGUCUCCUAGGGUCAAUGGGAUCAAUGGGGCGGCCCUGUGGGGCAAUGGGACACCUCUUGGGGUCAAUGGGACCAAUGGGACACCUCUUGGGGUCAAUGGGACCAAUGGGACACCUCUUGGGGUCAAUGGGGCAUCUCUUAGGGUCAAUGGGAUCAAUGGGACACCUCUUGGGGUCAAUGGGGCACCUCCCGGGGCUGUGGGGCGCACACACCCCAGGGGAACGGGGUCUGGGGGACAUCUGGCCGCUGGGGGUCCCCCCUUGGGGGCAGGGGUCCCUGUGGGGUCGCCCCCCCACCUUGCUGUCCUGCAUGUCCUUGUUGGCCCCGUUCUUCAGCAGCGCCAGCGUCGCCUCCAGGUUGUUCACGGCCGCCGCCCAGUGCAGGGCCGAUUUCCCUGGGGGGGGGGCACAGGAGGGUGAGACCGGGACCCCCCCCAGAACCCCAUGGGCACCCCCAGAC